rfam:Anopheles farauti strain FAR1 unplaced genomic scaffold supercont2.26, whole genome shotgun sequence.
UGAACAUGAUGAUACCCUUUAAAUCAGUUCUGCUUAUGAAAGGCUCUGAUUAAAACUUUACCAAAUCUAAGCACAAUAAUAUAUCUGAUAA